rnacentral:lncRNA from 1 species
AUGGAUGGAAUGCAGUCAUCAGUUAUUCAACAUUCAGUAGAUAUUCUUUUGUGAUUUUUAUUAUUGAAACAUUAAAAGGUUGCUUUUUUGUCAUAUAGAGGAUAUCUGAUAUUUGUAAAGAGGCGGGAUGUUGGCUCGUAAUUGAUAAUACUUAUGAGUAAGUGAUUUUUCUUGCCGUAUACGAAUCUUUUUGUUUUUCAUAUUGACUUUACUUAUGAGUAAGUGAUUUUUCUUGCCGUAUACGAAUCUUUUUGUUUCUCAUAUUGACUUUACAGCCUGCUAUUAAUGACUGCUGCCGUUUCAUUUUCUCAUCAACGGACGAACGAUGACGGUCUUAGAACUAUUGAUGAUGAGGAAAGUAAUUGUUGAACGGAGUGGUCCUAAAAUACUGCUGGUUAGACCAGUAAGAAACUUUGUGAAUGUAAACCGACGAUACAGGAUUUUGUUGCAUUGUGAGAAAUUUUUUAAUGCUACAUAUCCAACAUUUUAGGGGUGUUGGUUUCAAACAGUUGGCAAUACAUUAGGACUAGUUUGGUAAGGAAUCUUCAGACUGCACUAAAUUUGAUAGGCAACAAAAUUUAUGACAGCCGGGAUCUGUUGCAUGAUAAAAUUAACUGCUAAGAAGGGGAGAAAAGGAAAUAGCUGAGGUGAAGAAUGAUCAGGUUUAAUAUUUGUUUGAGAGAGAAAUGAAUCUGAAUCUUAAUUUUCAGAUUCCAGCAAGCAACCAAAUUGUCAUUACACUUCACUGAACAUGUCUAGAAUUUUAUCUUUAUUUUGGGCCAUUUGUUGCUAUAUGUUCUCAAGUAUAGAUGAAAAUUGGCUUUGUGAAGAGCUAAAGUAUUAAGACCCGUCGCUAUUGAGUCUAUGCUCUCCCGUGAAUGCAUUUAUCUUAUUCUGUCAAACAUCUUCUCUGGUCCUUCUUUUUCUAGUAACUUUGUUCGGUACACUUUGCUUGUGGUUUAUUAUUUUUCCUGAAUGAUAUGUUCUUAUAUAUAUGUAGCAAGUCAUUUGCAGG